rnacentral:lncRNA from 1 species
GCCUGUACCAAAAUGUCAUUAUACAGAGUUAAAAAUAUCAAACAGGAACGAAAAGCGCACUGCUAGAAAGGAAAUCCCACGGAUAUCAUCUCAUGGAAAGACUAUCCUCUUUUCGAGUGGAAACUGAGACUCAUCGUUAUUUAUUAACUAAAGUAAAGUACCACACCCAAAUGCGCCUCCUUCUCUCUGAGGGAGCUGAUUGAAGGACGAUGACUAGUUACGUAGUCUGUUUCGCAUUAGUUCUCGAGUUGGCAACGCCGCGUGAAAAUGUAAAUUUGAAUUGAGUAGGUUAUGUUUUAUGUUUAUGAAUGACUUCGUCGCAGAAGUAAAUUCAGACCGAAGAUUAACUCAGGAAAAUUGAAGUGAGCGUGCUGAGCGUCUAGUUACACAAGUGAAAGUAUUAAUGACGUGUUAAAACCGUCGAAUGUCUCAAUGUUUGUUUAAUUUUUCGGAUUUUAUGACGAAAGUCUGUCUACGUACGUGUUUACAUCAGAGGUCGAGUUCGCGAUUGACCUCAAUGGCUACCACAACAAUUGAAUAUAGCAACGUUGACGAGUGCGUCAAAGAUUGGGAUGAUCUCAACACAGAAUACAAAUCUUUUGAGACUCUCAACAAGGACUAUGUAGCUAAAUUAGAGGAAAGUCGGAGAGUUGCAAGAAAAAUGUGUGAAGCAGUUACAGCAUCAUCAGUACCGCCUAAACACAAUAGUGCGUUCAUUAAAAAAAUUAGAGAAGACUGCUGA